rnacentral:rRNA from 1 species
AUUGAACGCUGGCGGCAGGCCUAACACAUGCAAGUCGAACGAGUGGCGGACGGGUGAGUAAUGCUUGGGAAACUGGCUUAUGGAGGGGGAUAACUACUGGAAACGGUAGCUAAUACCGCAUACCAUCGGAUGAGCCCAAGUGGGAUUAGAUAGUAGGUGGGGUAAAGGCUCACCAAGGCGACGAUCUCUAGCUGGUCUGAGAGGAUGACCAGCCACACUGGGACUGAGACACGGCCCAGACUCCUACGGGAGGCAGCAGUGGGGAAUAUUGCGCAAUGGGGGCAAGCCUGAUGCAGCCAUGCCGCGUGUAUGAAGAAGGCCUUCGGGUUGUAAAGUUCUUUCCGCGGCGAGGCGUUACCUGCAGAAGAAGCACCGGCUAACUCCGUGCCAGCAGCCGCGGUAAUAC